rnacentral:rRNA from 1 species
UACAGGGGGGGCAAGCGUUGUUCGGAAUUACUGGGCGUAAAGGGCCAGUAGGCGGCCAACUAAGUCCGACGUGAAAUCCCCAAGCUUAACUUGGGAACUGCGUCGGAUACUGGAUGGCUUGAAUUCGGGAGAGGGAUGCAGAAUUCCAGGUGUAGCGGUGAAAUGCGUAGAGAUGUGGAGGAACACCAGUGGCGAAGGCGGCUUUCUGGUCUGUAACUGACGCUGAGGCGCGAAAGCGUGGGGAGCAAACAGG